rnacentral:rRNA from 1 species
UGGGGAAUAUUGCGCAAUGGGGGGAACCCUGACGCAUCCAUGCCGCGUGAAUGAAGGAGGCCUUCGGGUUGUAAAGUUCUUUCGGUAUUGAGGAAGGUUGAUGUGUUAAUAGCACAUCAAAUUGACGUUAAAUACAGAAUAAGCACCGGCUAACUCCGUGCCAGCAGCCGCGGUAAUACGGAGGGUGCGAGCGUUAAUCGGAAUAACUGGGCGUAAAGGGCACGCAGGCGGUUAUUUAAGUGAGGUGUGAAAGCCCCGGGCUUAACCUGGGAAUUGCAUUUCAGACUGGGUAACUAGAGUACUUUAGGGAGGGGUAGAAUUCCACGUGUAGCGGUGAAAUGCGUAGAGAUGUGGAGGAAUACCGAAGGCGAAGGCAGCCCCUUGGGAAUGUACUGACGCUCAUGUGCGAAAGCGUGGGGAGCAAACAGGAUUAGAUACCCUGGUAGUCCACGCUGUAAACGCUGUCGAUUUGGGGGUUGGGGUUUAACUCUGGCGCCCGUAGCUCACGUGAUAAAUCGACCGCCUGGGGAGUACGGCCGCAAGGUUA